rnacentral:rRNA from 1 species
UACACACCGCCCGUCACGCCAUGGGAGUUGGUUUCACCUGAAGGUGGUGCGCUAACCCGCAAGGGGGGCAGCCAACCACGGUGGGAUCAGCGACUGGGGUG